GGAUCCCAUCCGAACUCCGAAGUUAAGCUUGCUUGGGCGAGAGUAGUACUAGGAUGGGUGACCUCCUGGGAAGUCCUCGUGUUGCAUUCUC
rnacentral:rRNA from 1 species